GUGCUCGCUUCAGCAGCACAUACACUAAAAUUGGAACGAUACAGAGAAGAUUAGCAUGGCCCCUGCACAAGGAUGAAACAAGAGAGAUAGAAAGUAGAAUACAGGCU
rnacentral:snRNA from 1 species